GCGCCCGUAGCUCAAUUGGAUAGAGCGUUUGGCUACGGAUCAAGAGGUUAGGGGUUCGACUCCUCUCGGGCGCG
rnacentral:tRNA from 1 species